rnacentral:rRNA from 1 species
UAGGGAAUUUUCCGCAAUGGGCGCAAGCCUGACGGAGCAACGCCGCGUGAGUGAGGACGGCUUUCGGGUUGUAAAACUCUGUUCUUCGGGAAGAACGGUCGAAGGGUGAACAAUCCUUUGGCGUGACGGUACCGGAGGAGAAAGCCCCGGCUAACUACGUGCCAGCAGCCGCGGUAAUACGUAGGGGGCAAGCGUUGUCCGGAAUUAUUGGGCGUAAAGCGCGCGCAGGCGGCCUGUUAAGUCUGGUGUGAAAGACCACGGCUCAACCGUGGGGUGGCAUCAGAAACUGGCGGGCUUGAGUGCAGGAGAGGAGAGUGGAAUUCCCGGUGUAGCGGUGGAAUGCGUAGAGAUCGGGAGGAACACCAGUGGCGAAGGCGACUCUCUGGCCUGUAACUGACGC